GGACCUGACUGCUAUCGGAUUGAUACUAAGCCAUGCGAGUCAUUGUAGCAAUACAAGGCAGACGGCUCAGUAACGCGUAGUCGACCUAACCUAUGGACGGGAAUAACCUCGGGAAACUGAGAAUAAUGCCCGAUAGAACACUAUACCUGGAAUGGUUUGUGUUCCAAAUGAUUUAUCGCCGUAGGAUGGGACUGCGGCCUAUCAGUUUGUUGGUGAGGUAAUGGCCCACCAAGACUAUUACAGGUACGGGCUCUGAGAGGAGUAGCCCGGAGAUGGGUACUGAGACACGGACCCAGGCCCUAUGGGGCGCAGCAGGCGAGAAAACUUUGCAAUGUGCGAAAGCACGACAAGGUUAAUCCGAGUGGUUUCUGCUAAAGGAACCUUUUGUCGGUCCUAGAAACACCGAUGAAUAAGGGGUGGGCAAGUUCUGGUGU
rnacentral:rRNA from 1 species